UCUGUCUUCCCCUGGGAAAGUCUUUUAAAGGCUUGAGGUCAUAAUUUUACUUCAACUGAGCUUCUUUGAGGAGUAUCUCAUUAUUUCCGGUUAUUUCCUUCUGGAAGUUGAUAGAGAUCAAAGAAUAAAUGCAUACAUAUUUUAGUCAUAUAUGUGUUCCUAUACGACUUCACUGGUUGGUUGAGCUCAAGCAUCAUUCAAUUACCAUGUCUUUUAGUCUUUCCUGGAAUGCUCAUUACAUAUCUGCAGUUCCGGAGACAAGUCUCUAUUUCAGAUCCUUUGGUUCCCUUGUACAAUGACUGGAUGUGGGAUAUGGCAGUAGUUAUAGCUUUUCCAAUGACAUUUUUCAGUCUAUUAAUCAUUGUUUUAGGCAUGACGCUGAGAGGACAUAAAGAACAAGAUAAAUACACUAUACAAAGUGACAGAGAUGCAAUCCACCAACUGUAGAAAUGAGAAACACGACAGAACAAAUGAGAAAAAUUCUUCAAUAAUUAUGUUGCAAGCAUAUACAGCUUCAGUGUAAUCCCUGCCAAUGUCUCCAUGAAAGUUUCUAUAGAAAUAAAAAAUCUGUCAAUGCUUCUACCUUUCCCCCUUGUAUUUGCCAUGAAGUGAUGGAGCCAGAUGCCAUGAGCUUAGUGUUUUUUUUUUUCUUUUUUUAAAUAUUUAGCUUUAAGUCAGCAUUUUCACUCUCUCCCUUCACCCUCAUCAAGAGGUUCUUUAGUUCCUGUUCACUUUCUGCCAUUAGAGUGAUAUCAUUCACAUAUCUGAGGUUGUUGACAUUUCUCCUGGCAAUCUUGAUUCCAGCUUGUAAUUCAUCCAACCCAGCAUUUCUCAUGAUGUG
ensembl:lncRNA